AAAUUUUAUGCCUCGAGCUGCUGAAGCAUAGCAAAGGACAAAGUGUGCUAACUCAAUGAAGGCUUGCAUCCAUGAAUAUUUUUGAGAACCAGUCAAUUCAAGUAAAUGUUUUUCUUUUGGACAUUAAAGUAUCACACUAGAGUUUCCUGCUGCAUUUUCAGAUGGAUGAACAUUUAUAAAUGAAGAAAUGUUCCAAUUCUUACACCUUCAUUGGAUACAUACCUGGUUAUCACAGUUGAAGUGGCUAACAUCCCAUCAGAUUCAUUGGCAUAGCGAAAAAUUUUGCACACAAGAAGGCUG